CUUUAGAUUGAUAACGGGUGAGUGAGGGGGGGGCAAUCCCCCCUUCAGAGAUGGACGGCCCUGGAAACGGGGUCUAAUACCGGAUACCACUCCUGCCUGCAUGGGCGGGGGUUGAAAGCUCCGGCGGUGAAGGAUGAGCCCGCGGCCUAUCAGCUUGUUGGUGGGGUAAUGGCCCACCAAGGCGACGACGGGUAGCCGGCCUGAGAGGGCGACCGGCCACACUGGGACUGAGACACGGCCCAGACUCCUACGGGAGGCAGCAGUGGGGAAUAUUGCACAAUGGGCGAAAGCCUGAUGCAGCGACGCCGCGUGAGGGAUGACGGCCUUCGGGUUGUAAACCUCUUUCAGCAGGGAAGAAGCGAGAGUGACGGUACCUGCAGAAGAAGCGCCGGCUAACUACGUGCCAGCAGCCGCGGUAAUACGUAGGGCGCAAGCGUUGUCCGGAAUUAUUGGGCGUAAAGAGCUCGUAGGCGGCUUGUCACGUCGGAUGUGAAAGCCCGAGGCUUAACCUCGGGUCUGCAUUCGAUACGGGCUAGCUAGAGUGUGGUAGGGGAGAUCGGAAUUCCUGGUGUAGCGGUGAAAUGCGCAGAUAUCAGGAGGAACACCGGUGGCGAAGGCGGAUCUCUGGGCCAUUACUGACGCUGAGGAGCGAAAAGCGUGGGGAGCGAACAGGAUUAGAUACCCUGGUAGUCCACGCCGUAAACGUUGGGAAACUAGGGUGUUGGGCGACAUUCCACGUCGUCGGUGCCCGCAGCUAACGCAUUAAGUUCCCCCGCCUGGGGAGUACGGCCGCAAGGCUUA
rnacentral:rRNA from 1 species